rnacentral:rRNA from 1 species
ACUGGGAUUAGAUACCCCACUAUGCUUAGCCCUAAACAUUGGUAGCACACCACAUCCGCUACUCGCCAGGGUACUACGAGCAUUAGCUUGAAACCCAAAGGACUUGGCGGUGCUUUAGAUCCCCCUAGAGGAGCCUGUCGUAGAACCGAUAAUCCCCGUUCAACCUCACCUUUCCUUGUUUUCAUCAGCCUAUAUACCGCCGUCGUCAGCUUACCCUGUGAAGGCCCUAUAGUAAGCAAAAUUAGCAUAGCUCAGUACGUCAGGUCGAGGUGUAGCGCAUGGAAAGGGAACAGAUGGGCUACAUUCUCUAAUUUUAGUGAAUACGAAUUAUGUAUUGAAACAUAUAUAUGAAGGAGGAUUUAGUAGUAAGCCAGAAGUAGAGUGUCUCGCUGAAAUCGGCCCUAAAGCGUGCACACACCGCCCGUCACCCU